CCUACGGGAUGCAGCAGUAGGGAAUCUUUCACCAUGGGCGAAAGCCUGAUGGAGCAACGCCGCGUGCAGGAUGAAGGCCUUCGGGUUGUAAACUGCUUUUAUAAGCGAGAAAUAUGAUGGUAACUUAUGAAUAAGGAUCGGCUAACUACGUGCCAGCAGCCGCGGUCAUACGUAGGAUCCGAGCAUUAUCCGGAGUGACUGGGUGUAAAGAGUUGCGUAGGUGGCAUAAUAAGUAGCUAGUGAAAUCUGGUGGCUCAACCAUUCAGACUAUUAGCUAAACUGUUAAGCUCGAGACCGUUAGGGGUAACUGGAAUUUCUAGUGUAGGAGUGAAAUCCGUAGAUAUUAGAAGGAACACCAAUAGCGUAGGCAGGUUGCUGGGACGGUUCUGACACUAAGGCACGAAAGCGUAGGGAGCAAACGGGAUUAGAUACCCGUGUAGUC
rnacentral:rRNA from 1 species